GCGGUCGUGGCACAAUCCGGUACUGCGCCAGUCUUGAAAACUGGUGUCCGCAAGGACUUCCCGGUUCAAAUCCGGGCGACCGCG
rnacentral:tRNA from 1 species